GGAAUCUUCCACAAUGGGCGAAAGCCUGAUGGAGCAACGCUGCGUGUGUGAUGAAGGCUUUCGGGUCGUAAAGCACUGUUGUAUGGGAAGAACAGCUAGAAUAGGAAAUGAUUUUAGUUUGACGGUACCAUACCAGAAAGGGACGGCUAAAUACGUGCCAG
rnacentral:rRNA from 1 species